UACGAAGGGGGCUAGCGCUGUUCGGAAUCACUGGGCGUAAAGCGCCCGCAGGCGGAUCGAUAAGUCGGGGGUGAAAGCCCGGGGCUCAACCUCGGAAUUGCCUUCGAUACUGUCGGUCUCGAGUACGGGAGAGGUGAGUGGAAUUCCUAGUGUAGAGGUGAAAUUCGUAGAUAUCAGGAGGAACACCGGUGUCGAAGGCGGCUUCCUGGACCGAGACUGACGCUGAGACGCGAAAGCGUGGGGAGCAAACAGG
rnacentral:rRNA from 1 species